rnacentral:tRNA from 1 species
UAUAAAAUGUUGUAUUGCAUAAAGAAUUUUGAUUUCUUAGGUAUUAGUUAAUUCUAAUUUUUAUAA